rnacentral:rRNA from 1 species
CCUACGGGUGGCUGCAGUGGGGAAUAUUGGGCAAUGGGCGCAAGCCUGACCCAGCAACGCCGCGUGAAGGAAGAAGGCUCUCGGGUUGUAAACUUCUUUUAACAGGGACGAAGAAAGUGACGGUACCUGAUGAAUAAGCCACGGCUAACUACGUGCCAGCAGCCGCGGUAAUACGUAGGUGGCAAGCGUUAUCCGGAUUUACUGGGUGUAAAGGGCGUGUAGGCGGGAGUGCAAGUCAGACGUGAAAUCCCAGGGCUCAACCUUGGACCUGCGUUUGAAACUGUAGUUCUUGAGUGAUGGAGAGGCAGACGGAAUUCCGAGUGUAGCGGUGAAAUGCGUAGAUAUUCGGAGGAACACCAGUGGCGAAGGCGGUCUGCUGGACAGCAACUGACGCUGAGGCGCGAAAGCGUGGGGAGCAAACAGGAUUAGAUACCCCUGUAGUC